UGGGCCCAAGCCAACCCAUAUAAACUUUAUGAAACAAAAGGUCGACCAGCACUUUUAUUAGCAUUGAAGAUCUACCAACUGGUAUUGUACUUCCCAAACAUACUUAGGUUGAAUUACUUCUCUGAUUCAAAAGGAGAAGAAAGAAAUACAAUCAUCGAUAUUUGGCACAUCUUUUGUGAGGCAAAUAUGGUGGCAGACUCUUUAGCUAAUCAUCGACACACUUUAGAUAAUCCUUCUACUUAGUUUUCUUAUUUACCUUCAUC
rnacentral:lncRNA from 1 species